rnacentral:rRNA from 1 species
AUUGAACGCUGGCGGCAGGCCUAACACAUGCAAGUCGAGCGGAUGACGGGAGCUUGCUCCUGGAUUCAGCGGCGGACGGGUGAGUAAUGCCUAGGAAUCUGCCUGGUAGUGGGGGACAACGUUUCGAAAGGAACGCUAAUACCGCAUACGUCCUACGGGAGAAAGCAGGGGACCUUCGGGUCUUGCGCUAUCAGAUGAGCCUAGGUCGGAUUAGCUUGUUGGUGAGGUAAUGGCUCACCAAGGCGACGAUCCGUAACUGGCCUGAGAGGAUGAUCAGUCACACUGGAACUGAGACACGGUCCAGACUCCUACGGGAGGCAGCAGUGGGGAAUAUUGGACAAUGGGCGAAAGCCUGAUCCAGCCAUGCCGCGUGUGUGAAGAAGGUCUUCGGAUUGUAAAGCACUUUAAGUUGGGAGGAAGGGUUGUAGAUUAAUACUCUGCAAUUUUGACGUUACCGACAGAAUAAGCACCGGCUAACUCUGUGCCAGCCGCCGCCGUAAGAC